GCCUAGGUGGCGGAAUGGUAUACGCGUCGGCUUCAGGUGCCGAUGACUUUACGGUCAUGGAGGUUCGAGUCCUCUCCUAGGCACCA
rnacentral:tRNA from 1 species